GAGGGAAGCAAUAGGCCCAGCUUAGCAAAAAGACUGGAGGCAGGGGGAAACGUCUAGCCUGGUUAUGUCCAUUUGUCCACAAACAGAAAUGUAAAACCAACAAUUUAUGGUUUGCCCCUACUUCCAGUCUUUAUGCUAAGCUAAGCUAACCACAUCCUGACUCCAGCUCUAUACUGAACAUGUGGUAUUUAAGAAUUUAAAAGUAAUUUGAUUUUUCAGAAACAUAAUUUUAUUUCUUUUCAGAGUUAUGCAAUUAUAUUUCUCGUGCUCUAUUUUCUUAAUACAUAAUUUUAUUGUUAUUUCGGUUAUGUUGCUAAGGUUAUUACUGUGGAGAAUAUCCAGCCAGAGUGUAACCAGUACAAAUAGGUAAUGUGUGUUCUUUUUCUGGGUUGAUUGUGCGUCGAUCUAUUGAUAAUGCCUCAGGGCUCCAGUAGGGGGAACCGCGCUCCUCUCCCUCACUCAAUACAUACGAGUGAAAACGAGACAAGUGUGCGGGUGUUGUCAUCUCUCUUCCCUCACAAUUUUCCUUGUUUUAAGCAUUGUGAUGAGCCUGCAGCCCCUGAUAUUUCCUGCCUUGGGGCACGUUGGGAGCCGUCAGCCAGGUCGACCAAUACCUGGAUGGUCUGAGCCAACCGGAUCAGCCCCUCGUCCUCCAUGAUGAGCUGGGGGGAACACAAGGAAUCCUGGGAAGGGAGGAGUAGAGGAGUGAAUUGAUGCAGCACUUCCUGGUCUGGAAAGAAGGGUCCAAGCGCAGGGAAAGGCUGUCUAUGAAUGUGCCAGAGUGGGACACCUAAGUGAGAGCAGUUCAACCUAAUGAAGAGACUGUCACAUGGGCCCCUGGAUCGUCCUCAGUGACCCCUAAAACCUUAAAGAACUCACUCACCCACAACUACUGACAUUUACCAUAAAGUCUCUAAGACGUGAUUAAAUCUACAUAAUCAGCGCUGCUGCCUUUAUGGUGAUUACUUGAUUAACUGAUGAACCUGGAGUCUGACUAUACACAUGCAAUGCAGAUAAUCCAGAGCUUGACAACACACACUCACAGCUCCACUGAUGUGUGUGAGCAGGAGGCAGACUUGAGGCUGGAGCGAUGCACAGAGGAGACGUCAGCGUUCCUCAUGAAAGCUGCAGCAAAAACCUAAAUGCUGAUUUCUGCCGUUCCACUGACCUCCACUCUAUGAACUCACCUGCUGCAACACGGCCAGCUGGACUCUACAGCUGCAAAGCUGCUGUUUGGAGAGCACACAGGAGCUUUUUGAAGAAGUGAAAGCACAGGGCACAGGGAGUUCAGAUCAGGGUAUCUGCAGGCAGCUCACAAAUUUAUCACUUCCUUAGAAGUUUUUAAUGUUUUAUGGAAUUGACUUAAAGAACAAAUCAGAACCAACAUGAAGGAACCAAACUGGUCAAAUCAGCGAGCUGUCAUGUUGUAGAUGUUUGAUUGUGUUUUUUACUCCUCCAGUUAUCUCAAUUUAGUAUUUUGAAAGAACAAGGCUGGCAUUAUUCUAUAUUUCUCUCACUGUCAACAAAUCCCAUCUUAAAGUGUUUUCAGUAACACUUUACAACAAGGGAACAAAUCAUAUAUCUAAGUAAUGUUUAAAUCAUGACUCAUGAUUUAAUGCAGGAUGUAUCAUGAAUUCCUGUUGCUCAUCAUUAACAAAUGAUCAAGUCACUAUGACUUCAUGUGAUUAAUUCACACUCAAUAGAUCAUCACUUGAGGAAUGCUAAUUCAGUUACUUCAUACAUUACUUGAUAUGCAACCAAAUUAGCUGGAUUCCUCUUACACAGAGUUUAUUUCAGGACCUUGCAUUUGCUCAGCCUUUGGAUACACACAAUACUUGUUAGUAGAUCACUUCAUUGUUGGUUUGGCUCUGCACGAGAUUUGUUGACAGUAAGAAAAACAGAAAAUCACAGCCUUAUCUUUUAAACAAAGUGAGCCAUCUCUGACAACUAAUCAAACUCCACCCACUGAUGAGCACCAUGAGCCGCAGCUGAAAGCUGCUGUAAAAGCUGAUAAGUGGACCUUAAAUGAAUAUCUCUUUGUCAGAAUGAGACGUUGAGGUGGCUGCAGAUACUCUGAUCUCUGUUCAAGUUCUCAGCUGAGGAAGCAAAAGCACGACAGCAGGCGAGCAGACAACAGCAGCACAUGGUCAAAGUUCAUUUUUAAUAAUUUCUUUACAGCGGAAGGAAAAAAAAACAAAACUUUACAUAUAGAUUUAUAUAAACUCAAAAAUGAUUCUUAAUAAUAAUACAAGGAUAUUGUAUAAAUAUAAAGUACAACAGUAUUUCUGUUCCUCUAACAUAUUUAAGAAUAUAGCUGGGUCUAAGCCAGUGAGUGAAGUACUGUCAGUUGCUUAUCCAGUUUGAUUUAUAAAAUAUACAUUUGAAUUGAAACUGUAUAAAUUUCAUCUUAACAGCAGGCUAGUAAAAAACAUGGGCAGGGAGGAUUUUACAGUGGACACUGACCUCGAGACAACAGCAGAGAUGUAGACAUGAAGUGGACGGAGGUAUAAAAUUAUAUUGCAAUUUCAACUGAAUGGCUUUUUUAUGUUCUGCUUGAGUACUUUGGGAGUUGUGUUAACCCAAUAUAUUGUUGGGGACGGUAUCAGAACUGUUCAACAAUGGUAUUAAGUCCCACUGCUUCCACAGUUACACAAAAUGACCUAAAAGAACUGACAUUUUAGCUUAUUUAUUCAUAGAAUUUCAUACUACUCAAUAAGUUACGUUGGUCAUCUCACUUCACUAGUUUCUUUUCAGUUGAAAGUUUUAGUGUCCCAUUAUGGUUUAAAAGUUGUUUCGGAGGUCUUAAUAAGAGUCAAAUUCUGUUUAGAAAGGAUUUUUAGGGCUUUAGCAGCUUCAAUCCAAAACUCUAUCAGCUCCAGCCUUCAAACCCCACAUCAGUCAAAUAAGCAUCAUAAUCAGAUUCCAACCUGCGUUUAGUUGCAGACACUGAGCUUCUAUGAGCAAUAAGCCAGACGCAGCGUGUGGUAGAAACAGCAGAGGCCGCCUGAUGCUCUGCUAAAUGUGUAGCCUCUAGGGAAUCAAUGAUUUACCAAUCCAGUGAUGAGGGAAAACUUUUAAACAAUCAAUGUUUGUUUUAAACUCUGAAUAAUUGAAUAUUGAUCACAUCUUAUAAACCUGUGUGUGAUUUAAAGCAGGCACAUUGAUCUCAAAGCUUUAGGAGGCUGUUGUCUUACAGGCUUAACCACAUUAGUGAAGCCUCUGCUGUUUCACCGAGCUCUGCAACACAACCAAACACACAACAGAAUUUAAAAAUAAAUAAAAAAAACAAAAACAAUAAUUUAAUAACCUGUUUACAUUUAUACAAACAUGAACACAAAGUCAGCUGGUCACACAGACCAGAGACAAUGACAAAAAAAGACUUUACACACACACACGCUUCCUCCUGGAGGGUUUGUACCGUCAGUUUGGACACAUGAAGCUUGGAGGGCGAUAGAUGCAGCAACAGCUCCCCCUGCUGCUCACAGUUAACAUCACAGACAUAAAAAGAAGCAGUCUCUGCUAGUGGUCAGUGUUCAGUAAGAGGCACUGUAUCAUUUGUCUCACUGUCCUUAUUUCACUAACUUGCAUCUGUCUCAAGGCUAAAAAUCACAUUCACAGUUCAGUCUCAGGUUACCUCAACAGCUUCUUUUCUCUCUCAGGACAAAUGUUGGCUUGCAAACACACAGACUGGAGUUUUAGGUUGAACAUUUCUCAGAGGGAGAGCUGCUCUGAAAGCAGGAAUAAUCUCAGAUUUGGUGAGCAGAGCCAAAGAACCACAGUCUCUCUGGAUGAGUGAGGCUAAGUUCUGAAAGUGAAGUUGUAAAAAAAACUAAUUUAUCUAUCUAGUUAUCCCACAGCAGAUCCAAGGAGGCUGUUUCCCAAUUCCAUAGCCUACUCUACACUACAACAUGCACUAUGCUGAUGUGAAAGAGCUGUAAAGUCUGUAAACUGUGAUGGAUGUUUACAACAAACUGAUGUUCAUUUUCAUUUUCUCCUCAGCUAACCUGGACGCUUGUUUCCAACUUGUGUGAUGAUCUGACUGCUUGUGGACUGUUCCCAGGUCUCAGCAGUGUGUGUUGCGUGCUGCUCCUCUAGGUGAGCAGGUAGCAGUAGAGGACGUAGAGCAGGGCCAUGGCCACACAGUAGAAGAGCAGGAAAUCUGUGGACAGCAGCGAGGAGAAGGACGAUGAAGACGAAGGCUUGACGUUGCUACGGGAGGAGGCCCGGAAUAGGAAACUGUUGGGUCUCUGGUUGGCCUGACCAGGUGGAGGGGACGUCUUUGGGGAGGACGGGACAUCUGACAAACAUUCAGACGUUCUCUCUCCUGCCAGAUUGACAGGGUGCCCGGCCUCUUGCGCUCCUCCAGGGUGGGGCUGGAGGGGGACAGCGGAGACGACG